rnacentral:rRNA from 1 species
ACAUCAGCCGGACGGGUGUGAAAGCACUCUUUCCGCAAGGACUGGCUGACAGGUGCUGCAUGGCUGUCGUCAGCUCGUGUCGUGAGAUGUUCGGUUAAGUCCGGCAACGAGCGCAACCCGCAUUGUCAGUUGCCACCAGGUCAUGCUGGGCACUCUGACGAAACUGCCCGUGUUAAGCGGGAGGAAGGGUGCGGAUGACGUCAAGUCAGUAUGGCCCUUACGCCCAGGGCUGCACACGUGCUACAAUGGCCGGUACAAUGGGAAGCAAGACCGCAAGGUGGAGCGAAUCCUAAAAACCGGCCCCAGUUCAGAUUGCAGUCUGCAACCCGACUGCAUGAAGCCGGAAUCGCUAGUAAAGGCGUAUCAGCUACGACGCCUUGAAUACGUUCCCGGGCCUU